UACGUAGGGGGCAAGCGUUGUCCGGAAUCACUGGGCGUAAAGCGCGUGUAGGCGGCUUGGUAAGUCUGCUCUGAAAGCCCGGGGCUCAACCCCGGGAGGCGGGUGGAUACUGUCAAGCUCGAGUCCGGAAGAGGAGUGUGGAAUUCCUGGUGUAGCGGUGAAAUGCGCAGAUAUCAGGAGGAAUACCAGUGGCGAAGGCGGCCUUCUGGACUGACACUGACGCUGAGGCGCGAAAGCCAGGGGAGCAAACGGG
rnacentral:rRNA from 1 species